rnacentral:rRNA from 1 species
GAUGAACGCUAGCUACAGGCUUAACACAUGCAAGUCGAGGGGAAACGAUAGAGAAAGCUUGCUUUUUCUAGGCGUCGACCGGCGCACGGGUGAGUAACGCGUAUCCAACCUGCCCAUCACUUGGGGAUAACCUUGCGAAAGUAAGACUAAUACCCAAUGACGUCUCUAGAAGACAUCUGAAGGAGAUUAAAGAUUUAUCGGUGUACGAUGGGGAUGCGUUCCAUUAGGUAGUAGGCGGGGUAACGGCCCACCUAGCCUACGAUGGAUAGGGGUUCUGAGAGGAAGGCCCCCCACAUUGGAACUGAGACACGGUCCAAACUCCUACGGGAGGCAGCAGUGAGGAAUAUUGGUCAAUGGACGAGAGUCUGAACCAGCCAAGUAGCGUGCAGGAUGACGGCCCUAUGGGUUGUAAACUGCUUUUAUAAGGGAAUAAAGUGAGUCUCGUGAGACUUUUUGCAUGUACCUUAUGAAUAAGGACCGGCUAAUUCCGUG